CAGCGCCACGAGUGGGAACUAUAAUUAUUGGGCCUAAAGCGUCCGUAGCCGGUUUAAUAAAUUUCUUGUGAAAUUGUUAAGCUUAACUUAACAACGUGCAGGAAAGACUGUUAAACUUGGGACUGGGAGAGGUUAGAAGUAUCUUUGGGGUAGCGGUAAAAUGUUAUAAUCCUAAAGAGACUACCAAUGGCGAAGGCAUCUAACCAGAACAGGUCCGACGGUGAGGGACGAAAGCUAGGGGAGCGAACCGGAUUAGAUACCCGAGUAGUCC
rnacentral:rRNA from 1 species